GAGUUUGAUUAUGGCUCAGAGUGAACGCUGGCGGCGUGCCUAAUACAUGCAAGUCGAACGGAGAUUAAGUAGCUUGCUAUUUAAUCUUAGUGGCGCACGGGUGAGUAAUAUAUAGCUAAUCUGCCCUACACUAGAGGACAACAGUUGGAAACGACUGCUAAUACUCUAUACUCCUUCUUUACAUAAGUUAAGUCGGGAAAGUUAAUAAAAUUUGCUUUUUGGUUUCACCUUGAGAGAUAUGGACGUAUAACAACUAAAUUGAUACGCCGAUGUGGCAAACAUCGGUGUGCUUUAGGUGGGUCAAGGGAGCGCUUGCGCUUCUUGUCGCAAAGAAAGGCUUUGCCUUUCUGCGAAGUCCGUAUUUGUCAAGAUGAAAUCUUGCAAAUGUAUUUUUUCGGUGUAGGAUGAGGCUAUAUCGUAUCAGCUAGUUGGUGAGGUAAUGGCUCACCAAGGCUAUGACGCGUAACUGGUCUGAGAGGAUGAUCAGUCACACUGGAACUGAGACACGGUCCAGACUCCUACGGGAGGCAGCAGUAGGGAAUAUUGCUCAAUGGGGGAAACCCUGAAGCAGCAACGCCGCGUGGAGGAUGACACUUUUCGGAGCGUAAACUCCUUUUCUUGGGAAAGAAUUAUGACG
rnacentral:rRNA from 1 species